rnacentral:rRNA from 1 species
UACGUAGGGUGCGAGCGUUAAUCGGAAUUACUGGGCGUAAAGCGUGCGCAGGCGGUUCGCCAAGUCAGGUGUGAAAUCCCCGGGCUCAACCUGGGAAUUGCGAUGGAGACUGCAAGGCUAGAAUCUGGCAGAGGGGGGUAGAAUUCCACGUGUAGCAGUGAAAUGCGUAGAGAUGUGGAGGAAUACCGAUGGCGAAGGCAGCCCCCUGGGAUAACACUGACGCCCAUGCACGAAAGCGUGGGGAGCAAACAGG